CACAGGAAAGCCUCUGACCUUUUUGGCCUGGCAACCAAAGAUUGAUGCUACCCUGGUACCUCUGCCCUCAAUGUCAUGGAGACCACAGGAGCCUGGGAUGACAAUCUAGGUAAUGGACUAGUUUCUGUCAUUUUAACUGAUACAUAGGCCAUUUGAAUUAUACUUCCUGCUAUAAUUUAUCCUUCUCAGAUCUCUGAUGGUAUUGACCACUAGGCUAACUUUGUCAGCUUAGCAGCAUCAGGCAACCAGGUUCUUCCCCAACACUGCAUCCACCUUGUUAGCUCAUUUCAUAUGUAAAAAUUAAGUCUUGCCUUUUCUAGAGCUACUAGGUAUCCUGUUGAGUAAAAGCAGACAGGUUUGCCUUGCAAACAGGCUUCAUAUUAAAAGAUAAACAGGUUUCAGAUAUAACUUUCCAUUAAAGGAACAUGAUUUGAAAUGAUUGUUUUCAGUAAUGAAUACUUGUGUAUCUGGUAAAUGAUUAGCUGGAAGGAAAAAAGGUUAAACUCUAUGUAAGUUUUGAGGUCCUAAGAAAAUGUUUUAAGAUAUAUAAAGGUCUGAGAAUGUGAAAGCUUAAGUUCUGAGGGUCUCACAAAAUGAUUUAAGAUGUAAAUGCAAGUUGUAAAGGUAUAAAUAAGUGAUUUAAAAUAUAUGAAAAUGGGUAAUGUUUCAGACUUCUUUCUCUUUCUAUGCUAUUGUUACACUAAGAUUUCAAAAUUUCAGAGUUUUAGCAUUGAUCAAUGGAGUUCUGAUAAGCUGGUAGAACACUAACCACUUACUGUUUAGUCACAAGCUCAAGAUUUUAAAUUUCCUUUGGUUGCCUUCUAAUAUACACUUGAAAGUGCUUAUUAUUAGUCCAAAGACAUCUCUGUCCAAUCUAUAUCUAUCUGUCUGAACAGAGGGAAAAAAUGUUCAUGCUUUUUCACCCAAAUCUGUAGCUUUUGCUAGGACUCAAAGGUGUGACUCUGAUCCAGCUGUUUUAUAGACACCUAUUAUCUGAUUUUUCUACAAUGUGGAUUUCAGUACAGAUUGGUUAUACUAAUAAUAUAUCUAAAACUUUUAUGUCUUUUGUAAACUAAAAAUUCAUGUAAGCUUCAGAGGAUCUAGGCAAUCACAAAACUUGGAUCCAUCUCUCACAGGUCAAAAGGACUCCAGGUAAGUACAGCCUAAGUUUCCCCUCCUGUCUAUUCCCCUCCUGAGGAUGGUACCUUUCUCUCUCUUGGAACUCCUCCCCUCCCCCAACUACUAGGACUAUGGACCUGAACAUUCCAAAUGUAAUAUUUUCCUUUAAGUUCUUUCAACUUCUGUUUCUAGUCUAUAUCUGCCUCCGCUGAUUUUUCACUUGGCUGACAGACAACAUCCAAACAUCAUUUGCUGACUACAACCUGUUCCAAAUGACUGUGAACCUUGGACUUGCAGAAGGCUGAUGUGGACCAGUCCAGCCAACGUGAAUGCUCUGUCUCGUCAGCUGGCAGGGGCAGAACUGGAUUUCCACAUCCGUCCAGGUUGCAUCUGGUGGAAGGGGCCUGCCUUCCUGCAGGCCAGGACAGAGAUGGCAAGGUCCAAGAUUGGAGGGAGUUGAGGUCCUAUGAGUGCUCAGCUCACUAUGACAGCCAACUGAAGUGACACCUGUGGAUCUCUUGGGACCCUAGAAAUGCCUUUCUCCGAGCUGCGGAGACUACAUUCGCCACAAUGGAUUCCUGGAUGCUCCUAGGUCUGAAGGCAUCAUCCACUAGACCAAGAGGAGACUUGGAUGCUGCUUCCCAAGCUCGAUCCUGUACGAUCUGGAAAGCCCCAUUCCCGUCUCACCCUCCAAUCCCUGCCAGCUCAGAGUCUCCCGAAGAAAGGAAAGGCGCCAAAAAACCCAGUUCAGCAUUCUUGACGGCUACCGCAGCUUCCUGCCCUGAAGUUGCCAGCUGCCGGAGUCCCCAUCUAAAGCGCUCAGCUUUUGACCAUCCUUGGGCACAAACCCGGCUUGUGGAGGAUACAGCAUCCCCCUCUCCCCUACAACGUAUAAAGUCUCUCUGCUCCGUUUGUGGACUCAGCUUCUCCAGCCUUGAUGUCUGGGACUGGAGAACUCAUGUGGGAGUUGCUUUGCUCAAAUAAACCUGUUGUUACACUUUUUCAAUAGGGCUUGAUCUGGCUUACUGCUUUGGUGAA